UCUUUGUAGUUUGCACACCGACGAGCAAUAUAUGGUGUGGAAGGUAGAUCUACGUUACAAAGUCAGCUAUUUAAAGCGUUGCUCUUGAGCAUCAUUCUGUCGAAUUUCCUACCAAGUUCAGCUACUAUAUCUACAAGUGUACUACUCUAUUCAAGAUGAAUCAAGUAAUGACUAUAUUCCUGGUUCUUGGAGUGAUUGUCUACAGCGUCGAAUCGUCGUUGACUCCAUCUUCAGACAUUCCCUGGGAGAAGUGCCGACAUGAUUGUUUUGCUAAGUAUAUGUCUUGUCAAAUGUCAGACUCCUGCCACAACAAACCAUCGUGUCGUCAGUGCCAAGUUACGUAUGCAAUCUGCGUAAGUACUGGCUGCCCCUGAACCCGUCUACGACUAUGAUGUUCAAAGGACGCUGCUUACCAAUCGAAAACCAAUUUUUGUUUGAAAUAAAUGUGCUAAUUAUUCUAUCGAAA